rnacentral:hammerhead_ribozyme from 1 species
AUUCAACUGACGAGUCCCAAAUAAGACAAAACGCACGUCCUGAAU